rnacentral:rRNA from 1 species
GACGAACCGUGCGAACGUUAUUCGGAAUCACUGGGCUUAAAGCGCGUGUAGGCGGGCGGGCACGUCGGUUGCUGAAAGCCCCCGGCUCAACCGGGGAACGGGCGCCGAAACGACCCGCCUCGAGGGACGUAGGGGGACCUGGAACUUCCGGUGGAGCGGUGAAAUGCGUUGAGAUCGGAAGGAACGCCCGUGGCGAAAGCGAGGUCCUGGACGUCUUCUGACGCUGAGACGCGAAAGCUAGGGGAGCGAACGGG